GGUUACCCAAAUUUUGUUGCAACCUAUGGCCGAGGAUAUCCUGGAUUUGCCCCCAGUUACAGUUAUCAAUUUCCAGGUUUCCCAGCAGCGGCCUACGGACCAGUAGCAGCAGCAGCGGUGGCAGCAGCCAGAGGAUCAGGGAUCCCCGAUUAUGGUUUCUAUUCUCCGCCCGGUGACCAACGGGCUCCAUUAUCGUAUGCGGACUAUGAUUCCAUGGGGCCUCGGGUGGCUCAGAUGCUUCGUAGCGAGCACCCUGCUUCAGCGAGUAACUCCCCCCUCCACCACCUUCCCAGCCCGGAUCAGUUUAAAAGCCCAGGUUUGUAUGGAAUUUCAUUCCUUUGGGGAAGCAAACAAUGCAAUACAAU